rnacentral:rRNA from 1 species
UACGUAGGUUGCAAGCGUUGUCCGGCAUUAUUGGGCGUAAAGCGCGCGCAGGCGGUCCUUUAAGUCUGAUGUGAAAGCCCUCGGCUCAACCGAGGAGGGUCAUUGGAAACUGGAGGACUUGAGUGCAGAAGAGGAAAGUGGAAUUCCAAGUGUAGCGGUGAAAUGCGUAGAGAUUUGGAGGAACACCAGUGGCGAAGGCGACUUUCUGGUCUGUAACUGACGCUGAGGCGCGAAAGCGUGGGGAGCAAACAGG